UACAGAGGGGGCAAGCGUUGUUCGGAAUUACUGGGCGUAAAGGGCGCGUAGGCGGCCUGUUAAGUCGAACGUGAAAUCCCCGGGCUCAACCCGGGAACUGCGUCCGAUACUGGCAGGCUUGAAUUCGGGAGAGGGAUGCGGAAUUCCAGGUGUAGCGGUGAGAUGCGUAGAUAUCUGGAGGAACACCGGUGGCGAAGGCGGCAUCCUGGACCGAGAUUGACGCUGAGGCGCGAAAGCCAGGGGAGCAAACGGG
rnacentral:rRNA from 1 species